GAUGAACGCUGGCGGCGUGCCUAAUACAUGCAAGUCGAGCGAAUGGAUUAAGAGCUUGCUCUUAUGAAGUUAGCGGCGGACGGGUGAGUAACACGUGGGUAACCUGCCCAUAAGACUGGGAUAACUCCGGGAAACCGGGGCUAAUACCGGAUAACAUUUUGAACCGCAUGGUUCGAAAUUGAAAGGCGGCUUCGGCCGUCACUUAUGGAGGGACCCGGGUCGCAUUAGCUAGUUGGUGAGGUAACGGCGCACCAAGGCAACGAUGCGUAGCCGACCUGAGAGGGUGAUCGGCCACACUGGGACUGAGACACGGCCCAGACUCCUACGGGAGGCAGCAGUAGGGAAUCUCCCGCAAUGGACGAAAGUCUGACGGAGCAACGCCGCGUGAGUGAUGAAGGCUUUCGGGUCGUAAAACUCUGUUGUUAGGGAAGAACAAGUGCUAGUUGAAUAAGCUGGCACCUUGACGGUACCUAACCAGAAAGCCACGGCUAACUACGUGCCAGGCGCCGCCGUAA
rnacentral:rRNA from 1 species